AGAUGAGACACCCAGUUAACAAAGGUGACUGAAUCAUUUAACAUAUUUUAAACAUAGAUCCUCUGUUUCCCUUUUAAAAAGAGUUGACAGCUAAUUAACUAGAAAACCACUCAUCAAUUUCUGACAAUGUGGAUUGUGACAUGUUAAAGUUCUUGUUUAAAUGUGUAAAUAGAUAUAGAUGAUGGGGUCAUGAAGUUCAGAUCUAGACCUACACAUUCAGUUUGUCAGCUCAGGCAGGAGUUUGGCUUGAAGGAUGAAUGUGAAUUUUGGCACCUUCUUUUAAAUAUAGAGGAAUGUUAUGAAAUUUAGGUCAGUAGCUGAACUUUUACAGUGCUCUGUAGGUGCAGGGAUCUGUCUGACAGCUUUAUUUCCAUCUCGGAAUAAAAGACUGAAGACUUGUCUGGCAAUUCCAGUGAGAUUUUCACAUCUCCGUGCAUGAACCAGACAAUGAAUGGAAAGGUCAGAACAACAGAGUCUCCUGUCCAGAAUUUUGAAGAUCUUGUGAAAGCUAGGAGAUGUCUCAGCCAAGUAGUAAUGCAAUUCAGACAUCAUGGACUGAAUAUGAAGACUUCUAUGUCUAAAAGCCUGAGCCCCUUGAGGAAUGGUGCUUUUACUCAAACCACAAAGGAAGAAUUGUUAAUAAUGGAGGUGGAUUUUUCUGAAGGGGCACAUAUCUCAGGUCUCUUGUAAGAUCAAUUGCUGUGUUGCAGUAUAAUAACAAGAAGCAUGGUGAAUAGACAUCAUUUAAUUUCUAUGUCCUUCAUAGAGUAAGUUAUUUCAGUCAAAUCCCCACUUGCAAAAGUCCUCCUCUUUGACUACCAUCCUAAAGACUGGAUGAAGAGGAAAACGUGGUCACCGUAGUUUGUUAUGCAUAAAUGAAGAACAUAUUUGUAUUAAAAAUGAAGGUGUUUAUACUACACUUUAACAUUACUCUAGCUUUAAAGAUUUUAUGAAAUACAUCCUACAAGAUAUCACUCAAAAAAGACGUGAGAUCUUGCACUGUGGAAGGUAUUUCCUGUGGUGGGCCUUCUGCUAUGUCUUCAACUGCUUUUUAAAAUAUUUGUCAUACUGCAAGCUUUGCAGGUAUGAGGGCUUUUAUUCAUAACAGAGUAAAAUUAAGUGAUUAAAAUUCACACCUCUUAAAAAGGUAAAAAAAAAAAAAACACGCCUAAUUAAGGAAUGAUUAAUCUGUGUGGGUUUAAGUUGCCGCCUUUUGGGUGUGAGUCGGAGACAUUUUUGUGGGGGACAUCGAAUUGUUUCGGGCGG
rnacentral:lncRNA from 1 species